CCCUACAGCACCGUCGGCUUCUGUAAAGCCAGCCGGCCUCCUUCCCUGGAAUCUCCUGCAUCAACUCAUGCCCAACAACUCCUGCCCAAUUUCUGGCCUCCCCUCUCGGAGAAAUGAGCAUUCCAAGGAUGUGCCUGGUCCUGAGGUGCUUGGAAGCUUCCGAGGUUUGGGAACAGUACAGUUCACCCCGAGAUCACCGCGAAGCUUUGGCUCCGUCAAAGUACCCUACCCAUCCCUAGGCCCCAACGGCUGCGAGGAGUGGGGGAGAUUUUGCACACUGCACCCCCCCUUCCUCCUCUCCCCACCCCCACUUCGCCAUGUAAACACGAGGACUUUCUCGAGAGCCUUGGAGAGCCGCUCUAGUGGCUUCGGGCCCUGAAACCCCAGGCUGGGCUUGUUUGAUGUUUAGCAUCCCAAAGGGGCUCCCCACCCUGGCCCCAGCCUGGUAACUGGGAGCUGUGGGCAGGAGAGGAAGGAAAUCAGCUCUCUCAGCUAGCUAGGGGGUCAGGGACUGGGCCAGGCUCAGAAGCGGGGAGAAGAGCGAGACAGAGAUGCUCUGAGCAGGGGAGACAGGGAUACCAGGCUGCAGCCGCUACCAACAAGGGCACACACUGCGGUCCUCAAGGCCAGAAGGCGGGUGGGGGCAGGGAAUGCUUCAGCCAACAGGGCAGGGGCUCGGCCCUGCUGCUGGCCGGGUGGGAAGUAGCCUGGGGCCCUGCGACUGAAAUCCGAGCCAAGCCCGGACACUCUCCGCUAGAAACGCUCUGGCGCGCACUCCAGGAGACUCGGAGGCCCCGGGCGCUCUUGCCCAGUGUCCUUGUAGGAGGCUUCUUCCCGAAGCUUAGAGUUUGGCCUUUCAUAGGGAAGACUUGCUCGGGAGCCUUCUAAAAGAUUUUACAUCUUCCUGGGCCAGGGCUAGGGAGCUCUAGUGACAGUGCCUUGGUCUGGCAUCCAAGACUCCAAUUUUGAGGCCGCAGGGAGGAAUUCUCAGACUGUAAGAGGCCGCCCAGCCUUCAGCGCGCUCACCGCGUCCAAGCGUCGGUGAGGGGCUAUCUCAAGGCACGAGUGCACACAAGGUAGCGCGAGUCUCUUCUCAGGCGAUCCACAUAAGAGGAAAGGAGAGCGGGGUUUUCUGACUUCCAACUCAUUAGGGACCAGGUUCUUUUUCUUCAGGAUCAGGCACAGAGACUGACUGAAUGGCUCCAAUUAUCAGGAUUUGAAAACCCAGUAUCAGAAUCUACCACUUUGUAGCAUAAUAACAAAUGGCUGCUCUCAGAAAAGUACUGUGACCACAGAAAGAACAGGCCUGAGGGAGAGGGGAAAGCGGAUACCCACCUGUGUCGCUGUUUAUGUGCCAAGUCCAGGAACAGUCCAUACAGCCCUGCUGCAUCCCAUGACGCUGUCACCAAGAAGGAGGUCAUCUGAGGCUGAGGUGUUGCCAUCAGAACGUUCAUCAAAGUAGCGACGCUGACUUCGUUCUUAGGCAGAUUAUCUUCCUGUGGAGUAUCCAGACUGUUUGCCUAGUUUUCUUGUUCUUCUGGGGUCUGUUUACUGUAUUCCAGCUACCAAAGUGGUAGAAGUAAAAUUGAAAGAGUUCUAAAUAGCUUUUUUCCAUGUUAGCUCCCUUGCAUUAAUGUGGCCCUAUCAUCAUUUGAUGAUUUGGUGACUGCAGUUAUCCAUACUAGCUCUCCUACCACUGACUACUGAGAGUUAAUUAUUAUUGAAUAUCCAUCCAUCCAGGGUGAGUUAUAACUUAUGCCAGGUGUUUUGGUAAAUAAUACUAAUGCAAUUCAUUUUACUGUUUACCCUCUCAUCUUAAAGUAAUCAGCUGGUAAAAUAAGAUGGAUUGGAUUGGUACUUAAAGUUUUUUUCUCUGUGAGGCUUCUGCCCUAUUCAUAUUAAACUGUUUUAAAAUUUAUUUUACUAUUCAUACUUCCUGUCCAUGAAUCAUAUAAUCAUGUCCUUUGCCCAUUUAUCCAUUGGGAAUAUUGUUAGUGUUCACAUGUAUGUUUGAAUAAAUUUUCAUAUACUUGGUGCUGAUAAUUCUAUUUUUCAUUUGUGUUAACUUUUUUGUAUUUAUUGUUAGUUAUUUCUCUUAGAAGUUAAAAAUUUAUGUAAUUAUAUUUGACUAUUUUAUUUAAUUUCCAAUUUCUUCAUUUGCUCCACUUGUAAGAAAAUUAUCACUUUAAAGUGAGACUAAAAGCCCUAUAUAUUCUUUUGGGUCUCUAUUUCCCACCAUCCCUGAGAUUUUACUCUGACAUUCUCUAGGCCUUAUAGCCCAGGCCCCAUAACUAUUCAAUGCAUUAUAUUCACAAAGGUUUGAUGCUUGUGUUAUGACUUCAAUUGAGUAGUUACCUUAGAGCCUAUUACCUUAUUUAUCCUGUAUUUAGAACUAUUUCCCAUGUUUUCUGUUGUCCAAGGGGCUUAUAAAUCACACCCAACUUCACUCAUUCACUUACUCAUUUACUUAUUCAUUCACACUUCCAUUUAUCCAUUCAUUUACUAUAUUUGGCUCACAAACUCUAGGGUGACCAACGGUGAUCCCUGCUUCCUGGUGUGUUCACUCUUGUGUGUAGGCAGGACCUGGGACUUGUUUCUGACCAACAGAAUAUGGCAAAAGUGGUGAGAUGUUCUUCCUGUGAUUGUGUUAUAUAACACAAGCCUCUGUCUUGCUAGGAGAGUCACUCUAGACACUCUCCUUGUUGGCUCGAUGAAGUAAGCAGUCAUGUUGGGGAAGAUCUCCUAGUGAGAAACCCUGGGCAGACUCCAGCUAGCAGUCAGAAAGAAACCUGGAUCCCUGGUCUUACAGCUGCAUGGAAAUGAAUUCUGCCAAUAACCUGAAUGUUAAUUAUUCAUACUGCAUGGCUGAGGAUUGUGGAAGCAGAAAAAGAUUUACCUGCGAUAUCUGGAACACCAAUGGGGGUCUACAUCAACCCAGAAUUUAUACAGCAGCUGGUGCUAGUCAAAGCUAAUGAGAGAAUUUCAGUUUAAUAAAAAGACCCCCAACUGAGCACACCAUCUUGAAAAAAGUAUACUUAUCAAACAACUUUCAAUCAGUUCAAGAGAGACACCUUAAUUGGGAAGAGGAAGAAUUGCAGAGUAGUUCGUAAUCAUGCCAAUUCUAGAUCAAUAACUGCAUGUCUGUUCUGUGGUAGACAUAGCUUUUGCUUCAUAUGAAGUAAUCACAUAUAAAUUCUCUCUAUUUGGAUAAGGAAACCUUUGCUUUAUUUGACAAUGUAUAAUGAUAUCCUCUUUUAAUACACCUCUGUGUCUUCAUAAUAAACAUGAGUAAAAUUUAGACAUGUGAUGGUAAAAGUCAAUAUAAAUGUUGAUUUUUAAAAUAAACUUUGUAUCUAACAGGAAAGAAGUGAUUAUGAAAUUUUUAUAUUUUCAAAAAUAAUUUUGUCGAAAUAAAAUUAUAUGAAUAAAGUUAA